CGAACGAAGCUUUCUUUCACCGAAUGCUUGCAUUCACCGAAAGAAGCUUAGUGGCGAACGGGUGAGUAACACGUAGGCAACCUGCCCAAAAGAGGGGGAUAACACUUGGAAACAGGUGCUAAUACCGCAUAACCAUGAACACCGCAUGAUGUUCAUGUAAAAGACGGCUUUUGCUGUCACUUUUGGAUGGGCCUGCGGCGUAUUAACUUGUUGGUGGGGUAACGGCCUACCAAGGUGAUGAUACGUAGCCGAACUGAGAGGUUGAUCGGCCACAUUGGGACUGAGACACGGCCCAAACUCCUACGGGAGGCAGCAGUAGGGAAUCUUCCACAAUGGACGAAAGUCUGAUGGAGCAACGCCGCGUGAAUGAAGAAGGCCUUCGGGUCGUAAAAUUCUGUUGUCAGAGAAGAACGUGCGUGAGAGUAACUGUUCACGUAUUGACGGUAUCUGACCAGAAAGCCACGGCUAAUUACGUGCCAGCAGCCGCGGUAAUACGUAGGUGGCAAGCGUUGUCCGGAUUUAUUGGGCGUAAAGGGAACGCAGGCGGUCUUUUAAGUCUGAUGUGAAAGCCUUCGGCUUAACCGAAGUAGUGCAUUGGAAACUGGAAGACUUGAGUGCAGAAGAGGAGAGUGGAACUCCAUGUGUAGCGGUGAAAUGCGUAGAUAUAUGGAAGAACACCAGUGGCGAAAGCGGCUCUCUGGUCUGUAACUGACGCUGAGGUUCGAAAGCGUG
rnacentral:rRNA from 1 species